AAUGGCUUUAAAAUUUUUUUUAUUUUUAUUUUUUUUGAGACAGGGUCGCCCAGGCUUGGGUGCAGUGGCACACUCAUAGCUCACUGCAGCCUUGACCUCCUGGGCUCAAGCGAUGCUCCUGCCUUAGCCUCCCCAGUAGCUGGGAUUACAGGUGUGCACCAUCCUGCCCAGCUAGUUUUUAAAAUUUUGUGUAGAGACAGGGUCUCGACAUGUUGCCCACACUGGUCUCAAACUCCUGAGCUCAGGGCAAUCCUCCUUCCUUGGCCUCCCAAAGUGCAGGGAUUAUAAGCAGCCUGUGCAAAGACUUUUAAUGCCAAAGCCGUUGUGUAAAAGUUGAGCAUAAGCCCCACAAGGCUUUUAGACUCUGAAGAACAAGUUGAGUGAAUUAAGUUUAUUUCCUCCUUUGCCCUGUUUAUGAACAUCAGAGUCACAUUUAAUAGUAGUGAAAACUGGAAAUUUGGACAGUGAGGAAAAGUUACAUCUGUGUAUUUGGACUUAGUUAAGUCAUGUUCUUCUAAAUUCUACUUACUCUAAACUUUAUUGGCAACUAUUGAUAUAUUGUGUUUGUUAGAUAUUUAUUCUUUUUUUUUCUUUUGAGACAGGGUCUUGCUGUGUCACUCGGGCAGUGGCAUGCUCAUGGCUCACUGCAGCCUUGACAUCCCAGGCUCAAGCAAUCCUUCCAUCUCAGCCUCCCUAGUAGCUGGGACUAUAGGCAUGCACCACCACACCCAGAUAAUUUGUGUAUUUUUUGUAGAGACAGGGUUUCACUGUGUUGCCCAGGCUAGUCUCAAAACUCCUGGGAUUAAGUGAUCCACUUGCCUUGGCCUUCCAAAGUGAUGGGAUUACAGGCAUCAGCCACCACACCCAGCAUCAGAGAUUUAUUCUGAUAAGUGGAUACACAUGGUUUUUUUACAUGUACAUAGAUGUAUAGAUACACAUAUAUGUUUUAGAGCAAAUGUUUAGCUUAAGGCUCCUCGUGCAAAAUGUUCUGUUGAGCACCACUGCAGUCCAAGGAAAAAAACAGAUGGUUGGUUCACUUUCCACAACCAAGCCCAAAACCCCAUUUACCAAUCAAAAUUGUAGGCACUAUGCUUAAGAAAAAAUGAUCAAUGUUUCUAAGCCAACCCAAGCCUCAACUGUCCCACCUAAACAGUUGCCAAGACUUGAUAUGAAUGUUCACCUAUGAAACCUGCCUCAGUCUUUCUUGACUCCUAUUUCUAGCCUGGGAGCCGAUAUUUCUUGUUUUUUUUUUUUUCAUUAUUCUUAUUUUUUAAGACAGAGUCUUACUUUGUCUCCCAGGCUGCAGUACAGUGGCACGAUCUCGGCUCACUGCAACCUUCGCCUCCUGGGUUCAAGCGAUCCUCCUGCUCAGCCUCCCAAGUAGCUGGGACUACAGGUGCCCACCACCAUGCCUGGCUAAUUUUUGUAUUUUUAAUAGAGACAGGGUUUUGCCAUGUUGGCCAGGUUGGUCUCGAACUCUUGACCUCAGGUGAUCCACCUGCCUUGGCCUCCCAAAGUGUUGGGAUUACAGGCAUGGGCCACCACGCCCAGCCUCCUGUUUUUUAUUUUUCAUUCUUUUAAAAUAAAGAUAGGAUCUUGCUAUAUUGCUUAGGCUGGUCUCGAACUCCUGGCCUCAAGUGACGCUCUCAUCUCGGCCUCCAAAAGUGUGGAGUUACAGGGGUGAGCCACUGUGCCCUGCCAAGUGUUUCAUGUUCUGAUGAAUUAAAUAUGUGUCCUAUGGGAGGUGGGCCAUAUGAACAACCCGAAAGGACAACACAGUGUUCAUAGAGUCACCCUGCAAAUUAGCCUCACGGCUGUCAUGGUGUGAAAUGACGGGGUGGGACACCCCCUUGACUUUGUUUACUGUAGGGACAUCAUUUGGCCCCAGAGAUCAGUGGCAGGGACAGCCUUUGUAGUUAUUAGAUUCUGUUGCCUUAGCUCUCUGGGUCCAGAAAGUUGUGAAUGGAGAUUCCAUGUAGAAAUUGGAAAUUCUUACCCAAAAAAUCCCACCUCUGAAUAGCCCAGAGGUGCGUACAUCAAAGGAGGCCACUGUUUGUUUGUUUUUCUUGGCCAAGUGGGAGGAGGAAUGCGGGAGAGCUCAGAACAUUCCCAGAGAAAAUGAGGGCCCUGACUUGAUAUGUUGUUCUCGAUUCCUUUCUGAGUGAAUUCCACGGCCGAUAAACUGGCUCGGGCACAACUGUUCACAGCUGCAUGUAGGAUGUUGCAGGGGACACAAUGGCUGCUGUGUGUGCAGGAGGACAAACAGUCCCACACAGGCCUGAGCCUGAGCAACAAUGAGCGACAAACGGCCUUCAAUACAAUGCAUUCAUUUCCUGUAAUAACACUGGGGUAAAUGCGGCCUGGGAGGCCAGUUCCACCUGACAGAGACGCUCCACUUCAUGCAAUCGUUUUCAGAGGCCCGCUUUUCAUGAAGAAAGACACAUAUAAAAAGGAGAGAGAUGGCAAGCGGCUGAGGGUUUUCUUUUCCCCUCCUGCAAAGCAAGAUAUAAUUAAAACCAUGUAUAUUUUUAAUGCCUAGAUAAAACAGUGUGGUAAAAAUACUGUCGAGGUGUUAGAAGCUAUUUCAAUUUUUAGUCUUUCUGACACUAACUGCUCGUGAUUCACCAUCGCUGCUAAAAAUACUGGCAGGCGGCAGCCUGAGCUUCUCUGCUUCCCAGCAGGUAGACUGGCUCUAACGUGAGCUUACCUCCCUGUCCUGCCAGAGCUUCCAUCCUCAUGUAGGUAAGAGUACUACUGGGAAUUGGCUUGACAGCCUAUAAUAAUAAUAAUUGGCUGGGCGUGGUGGCUCAUGCCUGUAAUCCCAGCACUUUGGGAGGCCGAGAUGGGCGGAUCGCCUGAGGUCAGGAAUUCGAGACCAGCCUGGCCAACAUGGUGAAACCCCGUCUCUACUAAAAAUACAAAAAAUUCGCUGGGCAUGGUGGUGGGCGCUUGUAAUCCCAGCUACUUGGGAGGCUAAGCCAGGAGAAUUACUUGAACCUGGGAGGCGGAGGUUGCAGUGAGCCAAGAUUGUGCCACUGCACUCCAGCUUGGGCGACAGAGCAAGACUCUCUCAUAAAAAAAAUAAUAAUAAUUAAUAAAGCCCUAAUAAUAAUCAAGAUGAUGAUGAUAGCUAACAUCUACUGAGUGCUUACUAAGUAGCCAGUCUGGGUCUAAUUGCCUGAAUCCUCAUAAGAACCCUAUGAGGUAGGGAUCAUUAUUCAUCUUGGGUGAGGAACCGAGGCAUUGAGAGAUUAAGCAACUUGCCCAAGCUCACAACUAUUCAUCCUUUUCAAUAUAUACCCGGGUUCCGGGUGCAGUGGCUCACACCUGUAGUCCUAGCACUUCGGGAGGCCAAAGCGGGUAGAAUGCCUGAGGAUAGGAGUUUGAGACCAGCCUGGGCAAUGUGGCAAAAAUCAUGUUGAUUUAAGAGCCAAUAGUAAUAAUAAUUAAUAAAGCCCUAAUAAUAAUAAAGAUGAUGAUGAUAGCUAACAUCUACUGAGCAUUCUACUGGACCACAAUUGUGCACCACCAUACCCAGCUAAUUUUAAAAUUUUUUGUAGAGAUGUGGGUCUUGCUAUGUUGCUUAGGCUGGUCUCGAACUCCUUACUCCAGUGAUCUUCUUGUCUUGGCCUCAUGAAGUGCUGGGAUUAUAGGCAUGAGUCUCCGUGCUUGGCCUUUCUCCUCAUUUUAUAAUUGAGAGGCAUGUGGGCAGGAGUGAAGUGUCCCGGCUAAUACCACUCAGGUAGUUCAAGACAGAGCCAGGACUAAAAUCAAAGUCUGCUCUUUCUACCUGUAUAAAAGAAGAAACUCAGUUAGAACCAUUUAUUACAUACUUACUGAAAACUGAAUUAAUAUCUAUACUAAUAAGUGUCCUGGCAGGGAUUUGAUAGGAAAGAAAUAGAAUGUAUGAUUUUAUGAUUUCUACCAUCCCAAGGCUUGUGAUUUUCCUGAGGACACACAGGAUGCAUAAAUACAAGCCUUGAUGGACAUAAUCUUACCUUGGCAAUCCAGCACACACGUAAGAACAGAGGGAAUGUGACUUCCAGGAUCACCUGCUUAGGAUGGUGAUAAUCCAGGAGGAGAUAGACAGGAGGAGUGUGAAUUGGUACAGAGAAAGUAAAAAGCAUUUGUGAGACGAAGUAGCAAACAGAAGCCAUAUCUGCUCAUUUCUG
rnacentral:lncRNA from 1 species